rnacentral:rRNA from 1 species
GAUGAACGCUGGCGGCGUGCCUAAUACAUGCAAGUCGAGCGAACAGACGAGGAGCUUGCUCCUCUGACGUUAGCGGCGGACGGGUGAGUAACACGUGGAUAACCUACCUAUAAGACUGGGAUAACUUCGGGAAACCGGAGCUAAUACCGGAUACUAUAUUUAACCGCAUUGUUCAAUAGUGAAAGACGGUUUUGCUGUCACUUAUAGAUGGAUCCGCGCCGCAUUAGCUAGUUGGUAAGGUAACGGCUUACCAAGGCAACGAUGCGUAGCCGACCUGAGAGGGUGAUCGGCCACACUGGAACUGAGACACGGUCCAGACUCCUACGGGAGGCAGCAGUAGGGAAUCUUCCGCAAUGGGCGAAAGCCUGACGGAGCAACGCCGCGUGAGUGAUGAAGGUCUUCGGAUCGUAAAACUCUGUUAUUAGGGAAGAACAAAUGUGUAAGUAACUAUGCACGUCUUGACGGUACCUAAUCAGAAAGCCACGGCUAACUACGUG